UACGUAGGUGGCGAGCGUUGUCCGGAAUUACUGGGCGUAAAGGGUCCGCAGGCGGCCCGGCAAGUCCGUCGUGAAAUCUCCCGGCUUAACCGGGAGCGGUCGAUGGAUACUGUCGGGCUUGAGACUGUCAGAGGAGAGCAGAAUUCCCGGUGUAGUGGUGAAAUGCGUAGAUACCGGGAGGAAUACCAGUGGCGAAAGCGGCUCUCUGGGGCAGAUCUGACGCUCAGGGACGAAAGCGUGGGGAGCAAACCGG
rnacentral:misc_RNA from 1 species